AAACCCUAGUAGACUACCCAGUCCAGGCAGAAGGCUGUCUUGUUUCCACCUCUGGGAGCUUCACCUCUCGUCCCUCCGGCAGCCUAUCGCGGUCUCAUUUCUGCCUCUUGGCCCUUUCUCCGGCCACGCUCUAUCCCUUGUUGUCUCUCACUGCCCUCCUGUAGUUUCGACUCACUGGAGGUCUAACCUCCACUGUCCAGGCUCUUCUCGGUUGCCAAGAAUUUGGUCUCUUGGGUAACUGUUCUCUGCUGCAAAUUCUGGUCUACCUCUGUACUGCUACAAAGCACAAGGCAUACCACAGAAGAAGAGGAAGAAGAUGUGGUAUCUGUGUGUUUUCUUCCACAGAUUGUUAGAUUACAGGAAACCAGAAGUAGAGUCUCUGGCAGAACUUUUUGGGGUUUCUGAAUCUUUGGAGUGGAGGCUUCCCCAACAUCACCAUCCUGACUCUCCUUUUCAUUUUGUCAAUCUACCGAAUGAAGAGGCCGCCCUAAACAUCGCCAAUAGAAGUAUACUUGUAAAAGGAAUUUAUGAACUUUGGGGAGAAGGAAGUAACUAUGAGGAAUUGGAAGAAGCAAUAAUGAGAUAUCCAGAUGAUAGAAAGUUGCCAUAUUUAACUUCUGAAAGUACAUUCAAGAUUACUGUUGAUAGCUUUGGAAAGGUGAUUAGCUUCCAAGAGCAAAAUGAACGUAUGAAGGGUCUUGCUUAUAUCCCUUUCAAGGGUCGAGUUAAUUUAAAAAAUCCAGAACAUAAGUUCUGGUUAAUGGAAACUGAUGAUUAUGGAGCUAAUAAUGGGUUGCCACCAAUUGUACAAAGAAGAAUCUUCUUUGGUCGGGAGGUUGGUGGUGCAGACAGGAAGCUCUUACCAACUUACCAGUUAAAAAGCCGCACAUAUCUUGGCCCAACAGCUAUGGAUGCUGAAAUUGCUUUCUUAAUGGCCAACCAGGCAUUGGUCUCACCAGGAAAGCUCAUCUAUGACCCUUUUGUUGGCACUGGAAGCAUUCUUAUUGCUGCAGCUCACUUCGGAGCAAUGACAAUGGUUUGCAUUUUUUUGCUUUUCUGUUUGACUUUGAUUUGUUUUGAAUAUUUUGUUUGGAAAAUUGGUAUAAGCUAUUUGUGUACAGUAAUAUCAACUUAUGUUAAUUGUUCAGGGUGCUGACAUUGAUAUUAGAGUUGUACGUGAUGGACGUGGCCCUGAUUGUAAUGUUUGGAGCAAUUUCAAGCAGUAUGGAUUGCCUAUGCCGAUUGGUCUUUUAAGGGCGGACAAUAAUCUUCCUCCUUGGCGUCCCGGAUUGAAAGAGGUGUUUGAUGCCAUAAUCUGUGACCCUCCUUAUGGGGUUCGUGCUGGGGGCCGCAAGUCUGGUGGCCGAAAAUUGCUGAAGGGAGCUGUAGGCCCUUACACUGUUCCUGAUGACAAGCGAACUGACCACAUACCUUCAACUGCGCCUUACAGCUUAGCUGAGUGCAUGCAUGAUUUACUUGACCUUGCUGCUAGGAUGCUUGUAAAGGGGGGCAGACUUGUGUGCUUUUAUCCUGUACUAAGAGAAGAUGAUACCAUUCAAAUUCAAUUUCCAGAGCACCAAUGUUUUAAAUUGGUUGCUUCUUCUGAACAGAUACUAAGUUCACGUUACAGCCGGGUAUUGUUAACCAUGGUGAAGAUAAGUCCAUAUACAGAUGAAAUUGCUGAAGCUGCUAGAUUAAUGCACUUGGAGUUCAAGGAGAACCAUCUAAAGUGGUUAGAAGAAGGUAACCUUCAUUCUUCUGUUUUCAUGCCUGCAGAUCAAAUAACUGCAGAUGAUUCCAAGGCAUUUAAAGAACUGAAACCAAAGUAUAGAGGUAAGUAUGUGUAGUCCUAACUGCAUUUGUAGGCAAUUUUGCUAGGGCAUUAAUAUUGAGUAUUUCAUUUUGAUCACCAAUGUAUUUUUUUUUCUUCCAAUUAUAGGAGCUAUUUCUAGCUCAGUGCAAUAGUAUAAUUAUCGGACUUACAACCAGAAGGAUGUAGAAUUGAAUUUUGAGACUAGCCAGUUAAAUGCAAAAUUGUUGCAGGAUAGGAUUUAUCCAAAUCUGCUCUCCUAAAUAAAUUCU
rnacentral:misc_RNA from 1 species